GAUGAACGCUGGCGGCGUGCUUAACACAUGCAAGUCGAACGGGAUCCAAGGGGUGCUUGCACUUUUUGGUGAGAGUGGCGAACGGGUGAGUAACACGUGAGUAACCUGUCCUUUUCUUUGGGAUAAGCAUUCGAAAGGGUGUUUAAUACCUUAUGUUCUGUCUGCCUCGCAUGGGGUGGGUGGGAAAGGCUUUGGCCGGAUUUGGGUGGGCUCGCGGUCUAUCAGCUUGUUGGUGGGGUGAUGGCUUACCAAGGCUUUGACGGGUAGCCGGCCUGAGAGGGUGGCCGGUCACAUUGGGACUGAGAUACGGCCCAGACUCCUGCGGGAGGCAGCAGUGGGGGAUAUUGCACAAUGGGCGAAAGCCUGAUGCAGCGACGCCGCGUGGGGGAUGAAGGCCUUCGGGUUGUAAACUUCUUUUGCUCUGAACAAGGCAUGCCAGUGGGUGUGUUGAGUGUAGGGGUUGAUUAGCGCCGGCUAACUACGUG
rnacentral:rRNA from 1 species